rnacentral:rRNA from 1 species
AGAGUUUGAUCCUGGCUCAGAGCGAACGCUGGCGGCGUGCUUAACACAUGCAAGUCGAACGAGUGUAGCAAUACAUUCGUGGCGAACGGGUGCGUAACACGUGGAUAACCUUCCUCCGGGUGGGGAAUAACUCCGCGAAAGCGGAGCUAAUACCGCAUAACAUCACGAUGGGACAUCCUGUUGUGAUCAAAGGAGCAAUU